AUGCCUGGCCUGGUACACAUGUUUGAGCAGUUCCAGGGAGGGCAGAGCACUCAAGAAAUCAGCUCAGCCUGGAACUGCAAGAUGGACACGAUGUGGAUGGAUGCACUUAGGAAAUUGUGCAACGGUAGACAGCUGCAUUGGAUUCAGUUCAAGACACGAUGCUACUCAAUUGCCUUCCUCCUCAGAACACAUGCGCCCACGACCCUCCCAUCCCGCCUUCCUCCUCAGAACACCUGCGCCCAUGACAGAAAAAAAAAUGUUCAUAAUCCCCCACUUCACAUAAAGAAGGAGCACCGACAGGCAGGUGUGGAGAACCGGGCCCGUGCCUUGCACCAGGCGGCGGCGAAGGCGGAGGCCGCCGACGCGGAGUGGGCGGAGGCCAUCCACGGGGGGCGAGAGCUCCAGCGCGCGGAGCAGCAGGAGGAGGGGGCGAGGGUGAUAUGGGCAAAGGUGCAGGCCUUGAGGCACAUAUCUGACGGAGGGAGGGAGGGAGGGGCGGAGCUUGAGGAGCUUGGGGGCGUGUUGCGCGCAGCCGGAGCUCGCCGGUACCGGCCGGCAUGGGUGGUGGCCGCGGCGAGGAGAGUGGGGUAG
rnacentral:rRNA from 1 species